GGCCCGCUGGCCAAAUGGUAAGGCAUCUGAUUUCGGUUUCUGAUAAAGUCUCCUCUCAGAAGAUUGUGCGUUCGAGCCGCACGUGGGUCG